UCAAUCUCAAGCUUUGGCAGAGAAUAACAUAAAAUAAAAUAAAAUAAAAAUAAAAAUAAAAAUAAAAAGCCCCAGUGGAUUGUUCCCCCAACCAUGUGGAUCAAUCCCUUUCCACUUUCCCAUUACACAGUAAAGGAGCAAUUUUGGCUCUAAAAUUAUCGAUCGCUUACUAAAGGAGACGAGCCCCCUUUUACUGUGCCCUACCUUCAAUCCUCUUCUCCCUUCGAAUUCCUCAAGCAAAUUUCUCUCACUUCUCUCCACCGUCGAAUCUCUCUAACCCUUAUCACCCAAGCUGCCUCACUCUUCCCUCAUCACCUUUCAUCUCUCAUCUCUCAACACCGAGCACCACACUACCAUCACCAGGUCCGGCCGAAUCAAACCCAUCCCAACCUUAGGCCGCCUUUUCUGAAAUUUCAGGCGCAACUUACAGUCACCGAGUUCUCAAUUUCCGGUAAGCUCUUGGCCAAAAGGCUGAGCUAUGCUUUCUCAGUCUCGGGUCUCUCUCAUUCGGCUGGGUCUCUCCGGCAAUCGCGGCUGGUUGUUUUUCCGGCGAUUUUGACUGGGUUGCGGGUCUUUCCGGCGAGCUUGCGAAUCGCCGUUUUCUCCGGAGAUUUUGAUUUGGUCGACGGUUUUUGCCAGUUUCUGGGUUGCCGUUUCUGGGUUGGUUAGUCGGCCGUGAUUCGCUGUGCCGACGGGUUCUGAGUAUGUGAAUCGCCGUUUCCUUCCGGCGAUUUUGAUUUGGUUUUCUCCAGCGAUCGCAGCCGGGUUCUUCUCCGGAUCGCGUCUGUUGUUCUCCGGCGAUUUUGGCUUCGCUGAUCUCCUUUGCUUGUUCGGAUUGCAGGUAUAAAAAAACAAUACAAGAAGUAUAAAAAAAUAAAAAGGCAGCAGCAGCGUCGCGGCUGGUUCUUCUCCGGCGUCGUGACUCGCUGUUCUCCAGCGAUUUUGGCUGGGUUCUUCCGGCCGUGCUUGUAUAAGUCCGAUUCCGGCUGGGUUUUUUUUUGUGGUCACGGUUUAAGACUUGGACUGUGCUUCGCCCUUUAUUUUUUUCGGCUCGUUCUUCUCUGAUUCCGGCUGGUUCUUCUCCAGUGAUUUUGUGGGUUGUUAAUUGGGUUCCAGAUUCCAUUAUCAAAAACCCCAAUUGCUGAUUUUGUGAGUUGGGUUCCAGAUUCCACUAUUAAUUGGGUCGCCGUUCUCCUUUGCGUGCAUUAAUUGAUUCGGUAGAGUUGUUGCACUUGGUUGAAUCUGCCGUUCAUUACAAAGUGGGUGUUGCCAGUCUAAAAACUUUUUAAUACAAAGCCUGAACUAAUUCCCAUUUAAACCCUCCUAAGAGACUUCCAAACGUUUCAAACCCUCCUAAGAGACUUCCAAAGCCACGUGGCGUACCAAACGUCUGGAUUUUGAGACUACCUUCGACGUUGAAGGUAAGUUUCGCCACAAUGACACGACUGAAUGGGCGGUGUUAGAAUUUGAAGGAGGCAUUCGUCCUGUCUUUUUAGACUAGCCGCAGAGGUUGCAUAUCCUCGUACUGUGCGCCUGUUUUAUUAGAAUAUGGAAUGGUUUAGCGAUGCGCCGAAAAUAUUAGCUACAACCAUUGAUGGUGUCCGAAUUCACUUUGGUGUCUUGGACAUAGCCCAAGCAUUGGGGUUUGGACAUAGCCCAAGCAUUGGGGUGUCCACAUUUGUGCCCUACUAACUUGCUAGCAGAGAAUGGGGAGCUACGUUUUGGCAAGUAGCCAGAAAAAACUACCGUGUAUUCUAUUGUUAAGGAUAUGUGUGCCGGGAAGUAUGGUGAUAAGAAGAAGAAGAAUUGUGCCAGUAAGUCCUCAUUACCUAAGGCUAUGUGAUUUUUCGAUCAGAUUUUGAAACAGAAUGUUCAUCCAAUAGGUCAUAAGGUACAACGGGGGCAAGAGUUCUUAAUAGCAUUGUAUGCUACCCACACUGGAGCAUGGUUUUUUGUUCCAGCUCUCAUCUUUAACUAGAUGCAUAAAUACUGGAAGCAUUUAGUGGCGAGUGGGGAUCCGAAUGCGAAAAAAUGGAAACUCCCGUUUCCGUAUCUUAUUACCCAGCGCCUUGUCCUUCGGUGCUUCAUGGUUGAUAAUGAUAAAAUCUCUGAGGCUCUAUGGUUGACUUUUGGGCUAGCACAGUGGAACUUAAGCCUUUUCUCAUAUGCCUAGUGCUAAGAAAGAAAGUGAUGGCAUGACAGCAGGUGAUAGAGAGGAUGUGAAUGCUAUGGCUGAGGACGUUGUUGGGAGGUUCGAGGAGCAAAUUGCUGAUGGUACUAGUUAUGAGAUAGCACAGGUUGUGUCACCACAUGCAGAGGAGUAUGCGGGGGUGACUCAGACAGAGUUCAAUGCCAUUGUGGGGCAGGACCGAGUUGGUUGACUCUUAGGAACAGCAUCGAGUCAAGCAUGAUGAGCUUAUACAGCAGCACACCACUACCCCGCGCAUGCUACGGGAUCUUCUUGAGAUUGUUUCAUCGAGUGUCCCAUGCUCUUCCACAUUGCCUCCUGAUGCAUGAUUUCUUUUGUCUAUUUUAUGCUAUUCAGAUUUUUCCAUUUUAGGUGGUGGGGAUUUCAGGUGGCUAUAGUCAGAUUUUUGUGAUUUAGAGCUGGCUAUUUUGUGAACUUGUAUUUAUGGGUUUUCGUGAUAUAUUUUGGUUAUAUGCAUCCAUAUAUGUCUAGUACUGAUGCUUUUGCUAUAAAUUUAUACAUGGAUGAUUACUUUUGGCUUCUGUUGCUCAUAUUCAUGUGUUUUAUGGAUGCUUUCUACACUUAUGGGUGUCUACAUUUUUUUUCUUUCUUUUUUUCUAUUUUCUUUAUUUAUUUUAAAUAAAUAACCCAAAAAAAAAAAAAAAAAAAAAAAUCCUAGUAGCAUUCCGUCUUGUUAGAGACGUUAAACUUAGUCCAUUUUAUUUAUUUAUUUAUUUUGUAGGUUGUAUAUACAUGUUCUUUUUCUUUAUUUCUUAAAAAAAAAAAAUAAAAAAAAAAAGAAAAAAAAUAAAAAAAAA